rnacentral:snRNA from 1 species
GUGCUCGCUUCGGCAGCACAUAUACUACAAUUGGAAUGAUACAGAGAAGAUUAGCAUGGCCCCCGCACAAGGAUGACACGCAAAUUCGUGAAGCGUUCCAUAAGUAA